UACGUAGGGGGCAAGCGUUGUCCGGAAUCAUUGGGCGUAAAGCGCGCGUAGGCGGCCCGGUAAGUCCGCUGUAAAAGUCCAGGGCUCAACCCUGGAAAGCCGGUGGAUACUGUCGGGCUAGAGUCCGGAAGAGGCGAGUGGAAUUCCCAGUGUAGAGGUGAAAUUCGUAGAUAUUGGGAAGAACACCGGUGGCGAAGGCGGCGACCUGGGUAGAUACUGACGCUGAGGCGCGAAAGCGUGGGGAGUAAACAGG
rnacentral:rRNA from 1 species